rnacentral:rRNA from 1 species
CCUACGGGAGGCUGCAGUGGGGAAUAUUGGACAAUGGGGGGAACCCUGAUCCAGCCAUGCCGCGUGUGUGAAGAAGGCCCUCGGGUUGUAAAGCACUUUCAGUGAGGAAGAACGCCUGGUGGUUAAUACCCAUCAGGAAAGACAUCACUCACAGAAGAAGCACCGGCUAACUCCGUGCCAGCAGCCGCGGUAAUACGGAGGGUGCGAGCGUUAAUCGGAAUUACUGGGCGUAAAGCGCGCGUAGGUGGCUUGAUAAGCCGGUUGUGAAAGCCCCGGGCUCAACCUGGGAACGGCAUCCGGAACUGUCAAGCUAGAGUGCAGGAGAGGAAGGUAGAAUUCCCGGUGUAGCGGUGAAAUGCGUAGAGAUCGGGAGGAAUACCAGUGGCGAAGGCGGCCUUCUGGACUGACACUGACACUGAGGUGCGAAAGCGUGGGUAGCAAACAGGAUUAGAUAGCCCUGUAGUC